AUUGAACGCUGGCGGCAGGCCUAACACAUGCAAGUCGAGCGGAUGAAGGGAGCUUGCUCCUGGAUUCAGCGGCGGACGGGUGAGUAAUGCCUAGGAAUCUGCCUGGUAGUGGGGGAUAACGUCCGGAAACGGGCGCUAAUACCGCAUACGUCCUGAUGGAGAAAGUGGGGGAUCUUCGGACCUCACGCGAUCAGAUGAGCCUAGGUCGGAUUAGCUAGUUGGUGGGGUAAAGGCCUACCAAGGCGACGAUCCGUAACUGGUCUGAGAGGAUGAUCAGUCACACUGGAACUGAGACACGGUCCAGACUCCUACGGGAGGCAGCAGUGGGGAAUAUUGGACAAUGGGCGAAAGCCUGAUGCAGCCAUGCCGCGUGUGUGAAGAAGGUCUUCGGAUUGUAAAGCACUUUAAGUUGGGAGGAAGGGCAGUAAGUUAAUACCUUGCUGUUUUGACGUUACCAACAGAAUAAGCACCGGCUAACUUCGUG
rnacentral:rRNA from 1 species